GAGGGGGUCGCGGCCGAUUAGUUAGUUGGCAGGGUAAUGGCCUACCAAGACGAUGAUCGGUAUCCGGCCUGAGAGGGCGCACGGACACACUGGAACUGAAACACGGUCCAGACUCCUACGGGAGGCAGCAGUGGGGAAUUUUGCGCAAUGGGGGAAACCCUGACGCAGCAACGCCGCGUGGAGGAUGAAGUCCUUCGGGACGUAAACUCCUUUCGAUCGGGACGAUUAUGACGGUACCGGAAGAAGAAGCCCCGGCUAACUUCGUGCCAGCAGCCGCGGUAAUACGAGGGGGGCGAGCGUUGUUCGGAAUUAUUGGGCGUAAAGGGUGCGUAGGCGGUUUGGUAAGUCUGAUGUGAAAUCUAUGGGCUCAACUCAUAGUCUGCAUCGGAAACUGCCGGGCUUGAGUGUGGGAGAGGUGGGUGGAAUUCCUGGUGUAGCGGUGAAAUGCGUAGAUAUCAGGAGGAACACCUGUGGCGAAAGCGGCUCACUGGACCAUAACUGACGCUGAUGCACGAAAGCUAGGGGAGCAAACAGGAUUAGAUACCCUGGUAGUCCUAGCCCUAAACGAUGACUGCUUGGUGU
rnacentral:rRNA from 1 species